AAAAGCAUUUAUAUUCUAUUUUGACUGUAUUAAAAUGAAGGGUCCUACUUAACUAAAAUAUUAUGGUCUGUUGUGUAAACACAGGCUAUUAAUGUUUUAGAGGCCAGGAUUUUUAUUGAGAAUUGCAUGAGAUGCAAUUGGAAAGAGUUUCCUACCUUUAAACUUAUAAAAGGUUUGUUAUGCAACCACAAGAUCUUUUAUAAGGAAUUAGGGUCUCGAUCCCACUAAGAAAAUCAAUCAGGGUUUUCUCG
rnacentral:lncRNA from 1 species